UGAUCACGCCUUUCACGUAACCAUUCCAUCCAUCACUCACAGUACCAUCGUCAAACUUAUUCCAAACUUAUUAUUCUAUAUUCCUUUAUUUGCGUCGAAGGCGGUCCCGGAAACUGAGUACCGAGGUUGCCGAGGAGGAAGAGGAGGUGACGGUGCGCUGUUGAAGCUUCACCGGCGACGUGGAAAGUGAACAUUUUUUUUUUGUUUCAUCUAGCGUGAUCUGAUUACCCCUUUCAAUUCCGUCCUCAAGGAUUUUGUGCUGGCCACAGGAGCUCAUGCAAGUCAGGAGAAUAUGUGCAGCAGGCUAAAACAGGAGAUUUACUUGCUUUCCUCCGGGAAAUAGGAACAAUCGAUGGAAGAAGAUUCCGUGACCCCUAGUCGUUCUCGUCGAUUCGGGGUUAUCGGAGUUAAAGUUGCUGGUGCUUGAAGUUUUUAGUAUUGUGAGACAUUUUUAUCUCUCAUGCUCGUUCUGACUUUUCGAGCAUUGACGUAGAACUGGAGCUUGAAAGUUUAGGUUACAACCCUUUUGCCCGAGCAGGGCGACAUGGAAAUGUAAGCUAAAAUUUGUUUCAUAAUACCAGAUUGCCUUCUCGUAAGCGCACGAGCAAAUUACACU